GGAUGGAUCAUUCAUGAUACACCAAUCAAAAUUCGAACUACUUCAACUUAUCAAAGUAUUCAAUUCAAUACUCAACAAUUCUUAACGAUGGAUGACUCGACUCUUGUAACGAGGAAGGACGCAGCAAACCGCGAUAAGCAGUAUGAUGUGCGAAUACUCGUGAAUCACUAGAUUUCUGAACGCAAUUGUACUCGAAAUUUCGGUUUCGAGUAUACUUGUUUCGGUCUCAUUUAGAUUUGGUAUCGACUUGGGACAAUCCUUUGUCAAUGCUGUCACGGAUCUUCUCUUAGCGUUGAUCGACACUGAUAGAUUCGCAAUUCAAUUUCGGCGGUGGAACCAUAAGAUUUUGAUGCACGAUUCUACACUAUCCUAAUUCUUAUUGAGCCGAAAUCAAGUAAGGUUACCCGCUGAAUUUAAGCAUAUUAUUAAGCGGAGGAAAAGAAACCAACUGGGAUUUCCUGAUUAGCGGCGAGCGAAAAGGAAAUAGCUCGAGAUGUUAAUCGAAGUCUUUCUGAGGCUUCGAGUUGUACAUCAUGGCUCUCACUAGAUGUUGUUUGCGUUCAAGGUACUUGGAAAAGUACGCCACAGAAGGUGAUAGCCCUGUCUUACGCUAUACAAUGUCGAACGGUGAGGGUCGCAUGAGUCACGCUCUUUGGGAGUAGAGCGCAAAUAGGGUGGUAACCUCCAUCCAAGGCUGAAUACUGACAAGAGAUCGAUAGCGAACAAGUACCCUGAGGGAAAGUUGAAAAGCACUUCGAAAGGAGAGUUAAAAGACCUGAAAUCGUUAAGGAGGAAGCGAGUGGCCGUGACCCAAGCAAUUUUUUGGACCCAUUCGAUACGUUGAAGUUUUUACUUGGGCUAAAAUCCUUGUAUGGCAGAGACACUUAGAUUGGAAUUCAAGGCUUUGCUGUUUGACAUCAUUUGGCAUGGCAAUACGAGUUUACUCUUUGCCGAGCCGAAUGAGGCAUACCUUAUAAGCUAGAUGUCAAAAGUGGCACGUCUACACGACCCGUCUUGAAACACGGACCAAGGAGUUAAACCAAUGUGCGAGUGUAAGGGUGUGAAACCUGUACGCGCAGUGAAAGCAAAAGCUGUGAAUAUCAAUGCAACAGCGGCCGGCUAUAAGUUUGAGCUUGAGCAUAUUUGUUUAGACCCGAAAGAUGGUGAUCUAUACCUGAGUUGGGUGAAGCCAGGGGAAACCCUGGUGGAAGCUCGUAGCGAUACUGACGUGCAACUCGUUCGUCAAACUUGGGCAUAGGGGCGAAAGACUAAUCGAACCAUCUAGUAGCUGGUUCCCUC
rnacentral:misc_RNA from 1 species